rnacentral:rRNA from 1 species
GACGAACGCUGGCGGCGUGCCUAAUACAUGCAAGUAGAACGCACAGGUUAUACCGUAGCUUGCUCCACCAUAGACUGUGAGUUGCGAACGGGUGAGUAACGCGUAGGUAACCUGCCUGGUAGCGGGGGAUAACUAUUGGAAACGAUAGCUAAUACCGCAUAAUAUUAAUUAUUGCAUGAUAAUUAAUUGAAAGGUGCAAUUGCACCACUACCAGAUGGACCUGCGUUGUAUUAGCUAGUAGGUGAGGUAACGGCUCACCUAGGCGACGAUACAUAGCCGACCUGAGAGGGUGAUCGGCCACACUGGGACUGAGACACGGCCCAGACUCCUACGGGAGGCAGCAGUAGGGAAUCUUCGGCAAUGGACGAAAGUCUGACCGAGCAACGCCGCGUGAGUGAAGAAGGGUUUCGGAUCGUAAAGCUCUGUUGUAAGAGAAGAACGGGUGUGAGAGUGGAAAGUUCACACUGUGACGGUAUCUUACCAGAAAGGGACGGCUAACUACGUG